GGCGGCGUAGCCAAGUGGCUAAGGCAGUGGUCUGCAAAACCAUUAUUCGGCGGUUCGAGUCCGCCCGCCGCCUCCA
rnacentral:tRNA from 2 species